CGAAUCAGUACGUGUUUAAAAAUUGAAAUUUAUGUUGAAAAUUUUAAAGUCAACUUAAACAUAUAUCAAUUUAAUCAAUAUAAUAUCUUAAUUUAUUAUCAUCGCUUAAAAGGGAAGACCAAUCCGAUUGUCUCAGUUUUCGUGUACAAGUUGGUUUCCCAGUUGUAAUUUGUACUAGCAGAUUGUACAAGUUACAUUUUUUCAUCUUGAGCAACCCAUAGAGAAAGAAAUAUGAUAUCUUUUUGAAUAUACAGCUCGGUAAAAGAUGGAAAUUUAAGCCAAUGAGUUUUUAUAAUAUACGAUAGUAUAAGAACUCGUUGGUUAAGCUGCUAUAAAAAUGGAAUGGGGAGAUGUUACUGGAUUGAAGAACAAAAUAUUUGGACUACUCAAGGUGACUUAAGUCAUCUUAAUAUUAUUAAUUAUUAUACAUACCAAAUCUCUUACUAAAUCGUACAUUGGUUCAAAUACCCAUCCGUCCCUCUAUAUCUUGUAUGGAAUCGUUGUAUUCUUCUAUUAUAACUGAGAAUAUGUUUAAUCAAGAGGAGUAAUAUUGGAAUGAAAUCUACUGUGAGGAACAAAGAGACUUAUCAUCCUUCAACUGUAUUUCUUCCAUUAAAACUCCUUCCAAUGUCUACUCUAUUUCGUCUCCUAAUAUUCUUAGAAAACUUUCAUUGAUUUGAAUUCUUAAAUAUAAUUUAUGUACAUAACAAACAAACAGCUCAUAUUUAUGAUACUAAGUCCAUUUAUAUGUCUGUAUUAUUUCUGUAAUUCUAGACAAAUCAUCCUCGCUUACGAUUCCAUUAUUACUUGUGAGUAUUUUCUAUAUUUGGAAAAAAGUAGAAGACAAUUCUGGAGCAUGCAUUCAAUGUAGUCCUCUUUUCUAGAUAUCUUUAUCAGCAAACCCUCAGAACAUUCAACUCUCCUAUUACCUACAUAUGUAUAUGUAUAAAUAGUUAAUGAGAACUCUUACAUGAUAAAUAUGUUAAUAAAUUAUCGGGGAUCUUA
rnacentral:lncRNA from 1 species